GGCCUAGGGUUGGUGUUCUUAUUUUUUCGUAUUUAUUUUUGAUUUGGAACUUAUAUGCUUACAUAUUUCUGGGGUUCUAUUGAUAUGGUUGCAGUACAGGAAGCAGCUAAAUGAUUUCUUGGAUACUCCAUGGGGAAGAAGUUUUGCUGUAAGUAACAUUAGGCCCAGUAUCAAUGACUUGCUUUCAUUGGUAAUUAUAAAAAUAAAAUUUGUCAUAAAGCAAAAGAAGUAAAAUGCAAAUGUUCUAACUUGAUUAAAAAUACUUACUUUACUUUGAUUCAAAGUUUAAUUCAAUGAUUAUUUUUUUAUUUAAACCUAAACUCGUGCAUUUUACUCUCUAGGAAAAAAAAAUAAUUUUUCAAAAAUUUUGCAACUUACACUUCUAAAUGCUGGAUUUGCCUUUUGAAAGAAAAAGUAAUGCCGAAGAGUAAGCAGCAGAAGUAACAGUUAGACAAAAGUAUUAAAUGCUUGUCUUUCGAUUUGCUUUUGAUGCUAGCCUUACUGACACUCUCCAACACAUAAAUAUGGGGAUAUGGUCUUCAAAAAUCCUCCAAAUAGAUGAAAAAACAUGGAAACCAUGCUCGUCUCUAGCACUCACAUUGAAGUCCGCGUAACAUAGAUGCUAACAAUACCUUAUGUUCAUAUGUCCCCCGUUCUCCCUGUCUGUUCCGUUUAUCUGGUUUAAAA
rnacentral:lncRNA from 1 species